rnacentral:rRNA from 1 species
UCCGUAGGGUGCAAACGUUGCUCGGAAUCACUGGGCGUAAAGGGCGUGUAGGCGGGAAUGUAAGUCGGGCGUGAAAUCCCUAGGCUCAACCUAGGAACUGCACUCGAAACUGCGUUUCUUGAGUAUCGGAGAGGAAAGCGGAAUACCUGGUGUAGAGGUGAAAUUCGUAGAUAUCAGGUGGAACACCAGUGGCGAAGGCGGCUUUCUGGACGAUAACUGACGCUGAGACGCGAAAGCGUGGGGAGCAAACAGG